rnacentral:tmRNA from 1 species
GGGGGCGUCAAGGCUUCGACGUUGGUGUUGAAACAUUAUGUGCAUGUAGAGGUUCAGGAUCCUCUUAAAAAAGUCUGAAUUAAAUUAGUUGCAAACGACAACUACGCACUAGCUGCAUAAACCAGCUGGCAUUAAUCUGGCCUCUCUUGGAGGGUUAAAUUAAUGAAAAUUAUCCAAGAUCGUAAUUAUUUUGCUUCUGCAAAUAAUUAUUAAAUAGUAAGUCAGAAGAUCGUUUUAUAAUUACCUUCCUUUCGGUUUUAUAAAGCUAAAUUAAAAGAAUAGGAUAAACAUGUAGAUCAUUGUGCGGAUAGCUAGCGGACGCGGGUUCGAUUCCCGCCGCCUCCACCA